AGAAUCAGCCGGUCUCGCAGCAUCUUCCGUUGGCAUCAACAGCACUGCGGCGAGGACGGUUGAUUACCUAUCCAAGUCUCGAUCGAGAAGGAUUUCUGAAUCCUUAUUCGUCAAGGUCAUCUCAUCAGCUUUCUCGGCAAAGUGAGGUGUUACAGUUAUUACAUUCGGCACAUUGAAAGCUGAAUUUGAUAUUGAACUUCGUAAGAAUAGUAACCUUGUCUUCAGGUUCGAGAGCCCAAGAGGCCGAGACGUGUUCCUUUCUCGGCCGCAAUCGCAAGACGCAGAAGUCAGCCGCGCGCCCAACGCAACAUCAACAAAAUUUACUCAUCGGCCGAGCUCGGUCGACGAGUUGGCACACCUUGCAUUCAUCGAAGGACGUAGUUAGCUUAUUAAUUACUCGGCCUGUGCGCCACGUAGGCUUGGUAGUUUUUAGGGUCAAUAAUUUCAUAAGUUUUGGUGAAGAAAUGAGCGAGAUUAAGGAGUUUGAAAAAUUGCCCAGUUUCUGACAUCGGCGACGGUUACCGGAGCUGGAGGUAGGAGAUGAAGGAAUAUUUCGUCAAGUGUGACGGAAUAUUCUCAUGCCGUUAGUUAGAUUUAAUGGUAACAGUUAGAAGCUAAUGGAAUAUUCCCGGAAUAUUCCUGACGGCGUUAACUGACGCCGUCAGUGUGCCUGGCACAUGGCCGUGCGUGGGGGGCGCGUCUGGCCGUGCCAUUGUCAGCGCGUGGGGGCCCGUGAGGCUUCCAAAAUUUUUUCUAAAAAUUUGGGGAUGAUCCUGAGGUUGUGUAGGUCACUAUGGUAUAUUCAUAUACCCAUUUUGAGCUAUGUAUGAGCAGUUAUUAGCUAGUUUUGCCUAUGUGCUUAAAAUAACGUUUUUAUAGUUAAUUCGCAUAUAGGUGAGACUUAUCCCGAGGACGAGCGUAUCCAUGGGUGACUCGGGGGUUACGACCCGUCGACAUACCAGUGAGUGGGCUUUUGUUUUCAGUAUAUAUUUAUAUACUUGAUAUAUUUCCCAGAAAUGCAUUUUUUUGGGAAAGUAUGAUUUGAAAUAAUAUGCCAAAUGCUUUUAUAUUCUGAAUAUGCAUUCCAUGGUUUCAUAUAUAUAAAUGUGGUGCUGUGGAGGCACAGGUAAGUUCGGGUAAGUUAUGUUUGGUUAUGUGAAUCAUCGAUGAUGUGAUAUGUUGAAUAAUGUUGAGCUCAUAAAACUGCACCUAGGGUGAUUGUGAUUUAGCCAGAGAUAUGAAGUACAAGCCUGUUUAUUUAUGUCACCUUCCGCACUAUAUGCUCAUAUUGGAUCCAACUUAAGUGCACAGUCUUGUCGUACAGACCUUAUUUAUGGUUCCGACUCGUAGGUGACUAGCGAUUUAUAGCCCGGCUAUUAUGAGAGAGAAAAAUUGAGCAUAAUUAUAUUACACCCAAUCUUGUUGUAGAGACCCCUUUUUAAUGGUUC
rnacentral:lncRNA from 1 species